GAUGAACGCUGGCGGCGUGCUUAACACAUGCAAGUCGAACGGGAAAUAUUUCAUUGAGACUUCGGUGGAUUUGAUUUAUUUCUAGUGGCGGACGGGUGAGUAACGCGUGGGUAACCUGCCUUAUACAGGGGGAUAACAGUCAGAAAUGGCUGCUAAUACCGCAUAAGCGCACAGAGCUGCAUGGCUCAGUGUGAAAAACUCCGGUGGUAUAAGAUGGACCCGCGUUGGAUUAUCUAGUUGGUGGGGUAACGGCCCACCAAGGCGACGAUCCAUAGCCGGCCUGAGAGGGUGAACGGCCACAUUGGGACUGAGACACGGCCCAGACUCCUACGGGAGGCAGCAGUGGGGAAUAUUGCACAAUGGGGGAAACCCUGAUGCAGCGACGCCGCGUGAAGGAAGAAGUAUCUCGGUAUGUAAACUUCUAUCAGCAGGGAAGAUAGUGACGGUACCUGACUAAGAAGCCCCGGCUAACUACGUG
rnacentral:rRNA from 1 species